GAAACGACUGCUAAGACUGGAUAGGAGACAAGAAGGCAUCUUCUUGUUUUUAAAAGACCUAGCAAUAGGUAUGCUUAGGGAGGAGCUUGCGUCACAUUAGUUAGUUGGUGGGGUAAAGGCCUACCAAGACUAUGAUGUGUAGCCGGGCUGAGAGGUUGAACGGCCACAUUGGGACUGAGACACGGCCCAAACUCCUACGGGAGGCAGCAGUAGGGAAUUUUCGGCAAUGGAGGAAACUCUGACCGAGCAACGCCGCGUGAACGAUGAAGUAUUUCGGUACGUAAGGUUCUUUUAUUAGGGAAGAAUAAAUGAUGGAAAAAUCAUUCUGACGGUACCUAAUGAAUAAGCCCCGGCUAACUAUGUGCCAGCAGCCGCGGUAAUACAUAGGGGGCAAGCGUUAUCCGGAAUUAUUGGGCGUAAAGGGUGCGUAGGCGGUUAAAUAAGUUUAUGGUCUAAGUGCAAUGCUCAACAUUGUGAUGCUAUAAAAACUGUUUAGCUAGAGUAAGAUAGAGGCAAGUGGAAUUCCAUGUGUAGUGGUAAAAUGCGUAAAUAUAUGGAGGAACACCAGUAGCGAAGGCGGCUUGCUGGGUCUUUACUGACGCUGAGGCACGAAAGCGUGGGGAGCAAACAGGAUUAGAUACCCUGGUAGUCCACGCCGUAAACGAUGAGUACUAAACGCUGGGUAAAACCAGUGUUGAAGUUAACACAUUAAGUACUCCGCCUGAGUAGUACGUACGCAAGUAUGAAACUUAAAGGAAUUGACGGGACUCCGCACAAGCGGUGGAUCAUGUUGUUUAAUUCGAAGGUACCCGAGAAACCUCACCAGGUCUUGACAUGCUUCUGCAAAGCUGUAGAAACACAGUGGAGGUUAUCAGUUGCACAGGUGGUGCAUGGUUGUCGUCAGCUCGUGUCGUGAGAUGUUGGGUUAAGUCCCGCAACGAGCGCAACCCUUAUUGUUAGUUACCAGCACGUAAUGGUGGGGACUUUAGCAAGACUGCCAGUGAUAAAUUGGAGGAAGGUGGGGAUGACGUCAAAUCAUCAUGCCCCUUAUGACCUGGGCUACAAACGUGAUACAAUGGCUGUUACAAAGGGUAGCUGAAGCGCAAGUUUUUGGCGAAUCUCAAAAAAACAGUCUCAGUUCGGAUUGAAGUCUGCAACUCGACUUCAUGAAGUUGGAAUCGCUAGUAGUCGCGAAUCAGCAUGUCGCGGUGAAUACGUUCUCGGGGUUUGUACACACCGCCCGUCA
rnacentral:rRNA from 1 species